rnacentral:sRNA from 1 species
CCCUAGCCCCGUCAGCAGUGGAAAUCCUUGUGGGGCGUUCGUUUUGCCCCACAAGAUUGAAACGUAUGGCGGGAAUAGCU